UUAAUACUAUCUAUUAUAACUUAACAUUAACAUUAUCUAUCAUUACUUAACAUAUUUUAUUGUUACUAAACAUUAUAUAUCUCUUUAGAGUUCAAUUCAAAUUAACUUCUACGGGUGCAUGUAUUAUCUUUUUGAACUGGCCAAUCAGGGUUGUUUUGUUUUUUUCCUUCUUCUUCAGAAUUUCAGCAGGGGUUUUAAUUUUUUUUUUCCAGAUUAUCUUCUACUAAAUUUGUAUUUUGAUUAAAUAAAGUAAAUUUGAAAAUUUUCAACUUCAAAAUAUUGUUGUACAUAUCCUCCACUUUUUAUCUACACCAGAUUUCUCUGGUGUAGCAUUCCUCCUUAAGCAUAGACUGACACUCAACAACUGCACUACAUUUUUCCUAUUUAUUUUACAAAGAUAUUCCCCCCCCCCCCUCCACAUCUCUAUAUUCAAUAAAAUGUGAACGAAAAAUAUUCCAUUUGGUUGUAUGUUGUAAAAGAAAACGGAAAAAUUUAGAUCCGGUGAUCGGGUGCCUGUUCAUGUAACAUUUGAUUUCUACAACUAAACCGGGAAUUUCAGAGUUGAUGCGAUGGGCUGUUUGUUUGGUCACUCAAUGAAAACACACGUCUCUACUCACUUUCGAUCAUUACGCAUACAUGUAAUUGUAAAGAAAGGGUGACAUCUGUCACGAGGUGGGGUAACAAUUGUGGAAAUAUAUAUUUACAUCGGACACAAUCUAAGAUGAUCGAUCAGGUACCGUUUAGGAAGUUCUAUUUGUUUUAGUGUCUACAGAGUUUGUUCAAUUACAGUUUUGUUCUCAAUCUAUAUAGAUAUUGAGAACAAAAUGGAUAAGAUGCCCCAAUGGUUCAAUGUUUUAAAUCUUUAAUCACUUUCGACUAGGCCUUGCAGCCGACCAGGUAUCGUUUUCUAGGCUCGAGUAUAGACAGUUUCGAUAUUUUGAAUGAUGAUAUCUAUUCAUGUAAUAGAACAAUGGUUGACAUUUUAUCUGUCAAUACGAUGCUUUAGAUUUAAAUUUAGAUCAAAUAUGUCAUUGUGAAUAGAAUAUAGUUAAACUCAAAUUUAAAUUCAUGAUUUUUUUAUCUCCUGGUACAAGAAUAUGAUGUGAGCAGCAUACGUUAGCUGAACAUACGGCAGAUUCAUUCAUUUUAGCCUUGACUUGGAGAAAUGGCAAUGAAAUGUUCAAGACCUCAAAUUUGUGCAAAAUUGGAAGUAUGAAGAAAUCACAAGUUAGGGGCGAGAAGGGUUGUGUAUGGACUGCAUUCUAUGUGUGGCGUUACCCAGGGCCCUUAUGGCAACCUUCAGAAAUAUAUGUGUAUAUUCUUUAUAUAUAUUUUUUGCCUAUUGAUACAUAAUAUAUUUGUUGUCCAUUAAUACAACUUAUAUUUUAGAUGAAUAUAAUUACAUAUAUAAGGUUUCAUACUCAUCGCAUACAGUUAUGCAUUUUUGUUCAGAAUCUGACAUGAAUUUUUUUUUUAAAGACAGACAAUAUGUUGAGUAUAUACAUGUACAUCAAAUGUAUAUUCUUUCACAUUGUUGUUAUAUGCUAAUAAAUAAUUUACUUUCCAAAAAAAAAAAAAAAAAAAAGAGGUUAGGGGCGAGAUCAAAUGUUCAACUGCCAAAAAAAAAACCAAACCCCAACAACUAAUUAAAUUCACAUAGUG